rnacentral:ncRNA from 2 species
UACGGAGGGUGCGAGCGUUGUUCGGAAUUAUUGGGCGUAAAGCGCGCGUAGGCGGCUUUGUAAGUCUCACUGUGAAAGCCCGGGGCUCAACCCCGGGAGGCCAGGGGAUACUGCGGAGCUGGAGACAGGUAGAGGCUGGUAGAAUUCCGGGUGUAGCGGUGGAAUGCGUAGAGAUCCGGAGGAAUACCUGAGGCGAAGGCGGCCAGCUGGACCUGAUCUGACGCUGAGGUGCGAAAGCGUGGGGAGCGAACAGG